rnacentral:rRNA from 1 species
GAUGAACGCUGGCGGCGUGCCUAAUACAUGCAAGUUGAGCGAUCGAACUUGAAGCUUGCACCUCUUUUGUUAGCGGCGGACGGGUGAGUAACACGUGGAUAACCUACCUUUGAGACGGGGAUAACUUUGGGAAACCAAUGCUAAUACCGCAUAACAUCUUUAACCAUAUGGUUUAAAUUUGAAAGAUGCACUUGCAUUACUCAAAAGUUGUACCGCGUCGCAUUAGCUAGUUGGUAAGGUAAAGGCUCACCAAGGCAACGAUGCAUAACCGACCUGAGAGGGUGAUCGGCCACACUGGAACUGAGACACGGUCCAGACUCCUACGGGAGGCAGCAGUAGGGAAUCUUCCGCAAUGGGCGAAAGCCUGACGGAGCAACGCCGCGUGAGUGAUGAAGGUCUUCGGAUCGUAAAACUCUGUUAUUAGGGAAGAACAUAUGUGUAAGUAACUGUGCACAUCUUGACGGUACCUAAUCAGAAAGCCACGGCUAACUACGUG